CUACGGGACGCUCCAGUGGGGAAUAUUGCGCAAUGGGCGAAAGCCUGACGCAGCAACGCCGUGUGAGGGAUGAAGGCUUUCGGGUCGUAAACCUCUGUCGGAAGGGAAGAACGGGCAUUGGUCUAAUAGGCCUUUGUUUUGACGGUACCUUUAGAGGAAGCACCGGCUAACUCCGUGCCAGCAGCCGCGGUAAUACGGAGGGUGCAAGCGUUAUUCGGAAUUACUGGGCGUAAAGCGCACGUAGGCGGCCUUGUAAGUCAGGGGUGAAAUCCCACGGCUCAACCGUGGAACUGCCUUUGAAACUGCAGGGCUUGAAUCCUGGAGAGGGUGGCGGAAUUCCUGGUGUAGGAGUGAAAUCCGUAGAUAUCAGGAGGAACACCGGUGGCGAAGGCGGCCACCUGGACAGGUAUUGACGCUGAGGUGCGAAAGUGUGGGGAGCAAACAGGAUUAGAUACCCCCGUAGUC
rnacentral:rRNA from 1 species